rnacentral:lncRNA from 1 species
UUGUACGCCACCGUUUCACCAUUCCAGAUGUUCCAUUCUAAACACCCAGAUUAGGACAGAGAAUGGUACAGUUACACUUCUUCACCCGCUCCACUUCCCUGUACAAUAUUUUAACAUUUAAAAUUCCUCCAAUGUUUUGACCCAAAUCCCUGUUCUUCAUUUCAUUUCAUUUCAUUUCAUACCUCAACAACACUUCAAAAUCAAAAUCUUCUGUUGAAUUUCAAUAUCAAUCAUUAAUAGCUUUUUGGCAAGUGGGGUCAAUACCAAAGACUCAUCAGUUUUUUAAUACAUUACAUUUUUGGGUUCUCUUUUCAACACGCAUAUUCCGCGUUAACAGAUUCAGAUUUUGAUUUGGAUUAAUGGGUCUCUAUAAAGUUUGUAACUUCGUUGAAGAGACUAGUGAUUUCAGUUAACAGGGUGUUUCAACAGUUUCAGUUUCAAAGAGAUGGAUAUAACAGAAAUUUCUAUCUUACAUCAUGUNNNN